rnacentral:lncRNA from 1 species
AGAAAUUGCUCAAUCUAUAUAUGACUACUUGACUGAGCUCUCUGUCAGAGUGAGAGCCUUUACUAAAAACAGCGUCCUAAUUUCAACCCAUCCCGACUUCUCACUUUACUUGUUCUUUCUGAAAGAGCUCCAAACCCUAGCAUCCAUGGCGCCACUGGCCCUUGCUUCGGCUUAGGCUAGUGGCACCCUCUCCUCUCCUCCUCCUAGCCUCCUCCCCACCUUCCUACACCUUCCUCAGCCGUCUUUCUUGAUGUCCUCUUCUUUUUUCUUCCUUUCCUCCACCGCUCCAAAUCGGCUCCGCCGGUUUGUGGGUCCUUGGCAUGCCUUUUCGUUUGUGAUCACCACUCAAAUCUCUGAGUUUUUGUCUUAGAUCUCUACCCACUUCUCACCCAGAAGCUGCUCUCUGCCUCCCCAUUUUCCCUCACCUUCGCACCCACUUUUUCGUCCUUCCUCUGGCUCCCACUCUUCUUUUCCAACUCUUAACCACGAUUUAGAUCAUGGAGUUUUGGGCUCUUCUUUUACUCAAGACCAAGCCUUCCCAUCCCACUGCCGAACAGGCUUGCAGGAAAAUUUGGGCGAAGUGUGGAACGAUUUUCUUCGGAACAAGGGUGUUUUACACACCCCCUUUGCCCUCCCCCUCCUCCUGUUACAUUUUGUGACAUUCCUUGCAGGUGUGGAUGUGGAGGCUUUGUUUCUUGGUGGACAGAUUCUGCACAACCCUCUCAGAUCAAGUUUAUGGUUCGGGUUUUCUUUUUCUUUUAGGGCGACGGAUUUUAUUGCAGUGGAAGCUGCGGUGGCGACAGCAGCGGUCUUUUAGAUGUUGAAGAUUAGGGUUUUUGUUGCUUUUCUGCUUUUACUGCCUACGAGCCUAAUGAUGUAUGGGUCUCCCUUUGUGUUUUGGGUUGGUGCUCUACUUGGUUUGGGUUUGUUUUACCUUUUAUGUCCUGCUUUGUUUUAUGUAAGGCUUUGUAUUUUGUUUGAACUUAGGUCCAUCUCUCACAAAUUGUAUUUUCCCUUACAUUAAUGGAAUGUUUUCUUUGUCCCAAAAAAAAAUGACUACUUGACUAUGACUACUCUCCCUCUAAUCUUUGUCCAUGUCCACAAAUGAUAUCUCUCCACAUAUCUAUGUAUUCCACACCUCAACUCACAAAAUUAUUAAUUAAUUCGAAUUCUAGUAUGGGAUGACAAUUUCAGAAUUUUUGGUUAAAUAUAUUCAGUUUUUCUUACUGCUUAGUUGUAUGAGAAAUAAAUUGUGAAAAUUGACUUUAAAAGAUCGAACAAUGAAAAAUAUUUAAAAAGUCAGACUACUUGGUAGACUAUAUUAUCAAAGACAAUGGGUUCUUACGCAUUACCUUUGCUUUCUCUUAGGCUGGCGAUGUUAAUCCUCAUUCUUUAGCUUUGUCUAUUCGUUCUAUUUUUCUCACUCUAUCAUAUAUUUCCAAUGUAUCACAGACAAAAUCUGUAUAAUAUCUCUUUAUAUACCAUGAUUGACAGAUGACAACGUGAAUUCUUAAUAAUAGUAUCAAGAUCCAUCAGAUGUACACAAAAUUUUGUUGAAAGGAUAUUAUUUGUUUUUGGAAUGACAGAAAUGGAUAAACCAGUUCUAAAUCUUAAAUGAGAUAACACAUAAUCUCAAUGCCACAUAUCAACACACCCACAACCACAUGACUGUCCUAUAUUAUUAGUAACCUAACAAUACCAUUAGGAUUGGAUAACCAAAAUUUAUGUGGAAUAUUUUUACUCGACACCUUCAGGUGACGAUAAUGCUCACCAUAGGUGAAUUUAAAUUGGAAGAUUAUGGAGAUAUGUGUAUUAAAUAGAAAUAAAUAAUAAAAUUUAAACUCAUCUAACGAUGAUAAAUAAGGUGUGAGCAAAAAUGCAUCCAAGCACAAAAUUUUGAAAGAUAAAAAAAAGUAAAGAUAAAAAAGAA